rnacentral:lncRNA from 1 species
GAAAAAUGAAUUAAAUAAUUAACUCCCAACAUUAAUACCAAUACCGUAGUACCAUUGAAUAACAACUUUAAGGAUAUAACAUCUUAGACAUAAAAACUAAUUAUAGAAUACAACAACAAUUACAUAGGCCUCAGUCCCAAACAAGUCGGGAUCAGCUAUAUGACUCCUCACUGACCAUAUUACUCCAUAUAAAAUCAUCGAUUAUUGAGAACAACAAACAACCACAACAUAGACAAGUCGGGGCCGGUUGUAUGACUCCUCACUGAUCGUACCAUGUUACAACUCCAUAUAAACUCGUCUUAGGCCAGUAUAUUAAAAGUUAAUAAUACAGAACAACAAACGACUACUAUACGUAGACAGGUGGAACGUAAACAAGUAAGGGUUGGCUGUAUGACUCCUCACUGAUCGUACCAUGUUACAACUCCAUAUAAACUCGUCUUAGGCCAAUAUAUUAAAAGGCUAAUAAUAUAGAACAACAAACGACUGCUAUACGUAGACAGGUGGAACGUAAACAAGUCAGGGUUGGCUGUAUGACUUCUCACUGAUCGUACCAUAUUACUCCUCCAUAUAAACUCAUCUUAGGCCAAUAUUAAAAGGCUAAUAAUACAUAACAACAAACUAGUACAUAGACAGGUGGAACGUAAACAAACAAGGGUUGGUUGUAUGACUCCUCACUGAUCGUACCAUGUUACAACUCCAUAUAAACUCGUCUUAGGCCAAUAUUAAAAGGCUAAUAACAUAGAACAACAAACAACUACUAUACGUAGAAAGGUAGGAUGUAAACAAGUAAGGAUCGGCUGUAUGACUCCUCGCUGAUCGUACCAUGUUAUCUUAGCAUCUUGGGAAAGGUGAACCACAAGUAGUAGCAACUUUCUUUGCAUUAGGAGAAGAAAUCAUCUUUUGAAGUCUUGGAUCCUUCAUGUAUUUGCAAAGACAUGGCCUUUGUUCUUUCAACUUUGAACAACAAAUUGCACUUGGUGUUGUUGAUGAUGUUAUGGCAUUUGCACAAGGACUUAGUUGCAAUGGGUUGCAAUUCACAGCUCCAUUUGUUACCUUAGUUUCUUGAACAAGAACAAACAAAAGUACAAUUGCAAGAAGAGCCACAAAUUUCAUUGCCAUUUUGUGUUAUCAAGUGUGUGUGUGUAAGAGAGAGUUGUUUGUAAGUGAUGAGAGUACUAUGUUGUUGUUGUGGUUUUUGUGUGUGUUGUGUUGAAUGUAUUGGCAUGUAGGCUCUAUUUAUAGAAGGGGAAUGUCAGAAGCGG